CAGUCGCCGCGGGAAUACGUAGGGUGCAAGCGUUAUCCGGAAUUAUUGGGCGUAAAGAGCUCGUAGGCGGUUUGUCGCGUCUGCUGUGAAAACUGGAGGCUCAACCUCCAGCCUGCAGUGGGUACGGGCAAACUAGAGUGCGGUAGGGGAGAUUGGAAUUCCUGGUGUAGCGGUGGAAUGCGCAGAUAUCAGGAGGAACACCGAUGGCGAAGGCAGAUCUCUGGGCCGUAACUGACGCUGAGGAGCGAAAGCAUGGGGAGCGAACAGGAUUAGAUACCCGCGUAGUCCCUGUCUCUUAUAC
rnacentral:rRNA from 1 species